GAUGAACGCUGGCGGCGUGCUUAACACAUGCAAGUCGAACGAUGAAGCCCAGCUUGCUGGGUGGAUUAGUGGCGAACGGGUGAGUAACACGUGAGUAACCUGCCCUUAACUCUGGGAUAAGCCUGGGAAACUGGGUCUAAUACCGGAUAGGAGCGUCCACCGCAUGGUGGGUGUUGGAAAGAUUUAUCGGUUUUGGAUGGACUCGCGGCCUAUCAGCUUGUUGGUGAGGUAAUGGCUCACCAAGGCGACGACGGGUAGCCGGCCUGAGAGGGUGACCGGCCACACUGGGACUGAGACACGGCCCAGACUCCUACGGGAGGCAGCAGUGGGGAAUAUUGCACAAUGGGCGCAAGCCUGAUGCAGCGACGCCGCGUGUGGGAUGACGGCCUUCGGGUUGUAAACCUCUUUCAGUAGGGAAGAAGCGAAAGUGACGGUACCUGCAGAAGAAGCACCGGCUAACUACGUG
rnacentral:rRNA from 1 species